rnacentral:tRNA from 1 species
AAAGUUUUAAGUUAAAUUAAACUAUUAACCUUCAAAGUUAAAUAUAUAUAUAUUAUAUAAGCUUUA